rnacentral:rRNA from 1 species
UGGGGAAUCUUGGACAAUGGGGGAAACCCUGAUCCAGCCAUGCCGCGUGAGCGAUGACGGCCUUAGGGUUGUAAAGCUCUUUCAACGGUGACGAUAAUGACGGUAGCCGUAGAAGAAGUCCCGGCUAACUCCGUGCCAGCAGCCGCGGUAAUACGGAGGGGACUAGCGUUGUUCGGAAUUACUGGGCGUAAAGCGCGCGUAGGCGGAUCGUUAAGUCGGGGGUGAAAUCCCGGGGCUCAACCCCGGAACUGCCUUCGAUACUGGCGAUCUAGAGGUCAAGAGAGGCGAGUGGAAUUCCGAGUGUAGAGGUGAAAUUCGUAGAUAUUCGGAGGAACACCAGUGGCGAAGGCGGCUCGCUGGCUUGAUACUGACGCUGAGGUGCGAAAGUGUGGGGAGCAAACAGG